AUCCUUUUUUGGUUUAUAAGCCCAAUGAUUGAAUAGUUGUGUUACUGCAUGCCAUAUGCCUUCCAUAAACCUUGUUAUGACAUCAGCACAUUACCUGUCUGACA